UACAGAGGGGGCAAGCGUUGUUCGGAAUUACUGGGCGUAAAGGGCGCGUAGGCGGCCUGCUAAGUCGAACGUGAAAUCCCCGAGCUCAACUCGGGAACUGCGUCCGAUACUGACAGGCUUGAAUCCGGGAGAGGGAUGCGGAAUUCCAGGUGUAGCGGUGAAAUGCGUAGAUAUCUGGAGGAACACCGGUGGCGAAGGCGGCAUCCUGGACCGGCAUUGACGCUGAGGC
rnacentral:rRNA from 1 species